CUGAGGGCUGGUCCUCAUCCUCGGACCCUGUGACUGAGCGUAUUUAAGAGCUGCUCCUGGACCUUGUUCAACAGCUCACACUUUGAGGCUGCAUUGGUUCUGAUUCUGAGGACAUACUUCACUAACGGUCAUCGUGUUAUUUACCAUCUGCGGCGUCGCCACCAUGAGGUUCCUGAUCCUGUCUCUGUUUCUCUGUGCCGUCGUGGCUCUGCCUCGAGCUGCAGCUUUUCCAGCCCCAGAGGAUGAACCUCAACCACCGGAGGUUGAAGAGGGUUCAACAGGAGACGUUUCAGAACCUUCAAAUGAGAUAAAAGGAAGUCCAGAAGAGGGUGAUUCUUCAAGUGCAGAUGAGUCUUCAGAUGGCAACACUUCUUCAGAUGAGGAUGAGUCUUCAGAUGGUGAUAGUUCUUCAGAUGAAACCACUGACGCCCCUGAAGCCACUGAGGGGCCUGAAGCCGAUGACACCACUGAAGCCGAUGAUGUCGCUGAAGUCGAUGACGUCGCUGAAGUCGAUGACGCAGAUGGCGCUGAUGCUGAUGACACCCCUGAAGCUGAUGACUCCGAUGGUGCUGAUGACACCCCUGAAGCUGAUGACUCCGAUGGUGCUGAUGAUGCUGCUGAUGCCGAUGACACCGCUGAAGCUGAUGACUCCGCUGAUGACUCUGCUGAUGACGCCGCUGAUGACACAGACAACUCAGACAACUGAGACACAGUUGCCGCACCAACUCCCUAAAGAUGCACGAUUAGCAUGGAUGCCUGG
rnacentral:lncRNA from 1 species